CCCUAGGCUCCUCCCUCUCCUUCUCCGCCUCCUCCAGCAGCUGAUUCUCAGCUGCGGCCGCGCUUCCGCGACGCGCGGCCCUUCCGCCGGCCGCCGGUGCCGGGAGAACGCGGGCGGCGGCUGCCCCUCCCCCGCCGCGGGCUGCUGGCCGGAAGAACGCGGGCGGCUGGCCUGGAGACCACGGGCGGCGGCGCGCCUUUCCCGCCGCAGCUCCUCCCGGCGGUGCGCCCCUUGAGCACCGCACUCUGUGAAGUUGAGGGCUCGUAACAAUCGGAGCGGUAGCGGGGCUGCGGUCUCGCCUUCCUCCCCCGGCGGCCGGCUCUAGGUACAUGCGCAAGAUGCAAGAAGCUUUAUCCGAAAAUAGCAAUAUACGUUAUUUAAUUGGGUGCAGUGAGCUCCUCUUCAAGGUCUUGAGUGUGGAGCUCUGAGGCUGUACAGCUGUUAACCAGCAGCUGCGUUCCAGGCCAGAAGUAUCUGCACUUCAGCAGGCGGGGAGCCUCCGUGUUGUCGACCCCAGCGAGGAGACUGGGUGUUAAGUGCUUUGGAAUUCUACCAGAUACAGUAAAAGUCCCCCUGUCAGUGUGUUGCAUUUUUCCUGGAAGCUAUGCUCUGUCGUUGAAAUAAACCAUGGUCAGCUACUAAAAUAA